rnacentral:rRNA from 1 species
AGUGAACGCUGGCGGUAGGCCUAACACAUGCAAGUCGAACGGCAGCACAGUAAGAGCUUGCUCUUACGGGUGGCGAGUGGCGGACGGGUGAGGAAUACAUCGGAAUCUGCUUUUUCGUGGGGGAUAACGUAGGGAAACUUACGCUAAUACCGCAUACGACCUACGGGUGAAAGCAGGGGAUCUUCGGACCUUGCGCGAUUGAAUGAGCCGAUGUCGGAUUAGCUAGUUGGCGGGGUAAAGACCCACCAAGGCGACGAUCCGUAGCUGGUCUGAGAGGAUGAUCAGCCACACUGGAACUGAGACACGGUCCAGACUCCUACGGGAGGCAGCAGUGGGGAAUAUUGGACAAUGGGCGCAAGCCUGAUCCAGCCAUACCGCGUGGGUGAAGAAGGCCUUCGGGUUGUAAAGCCCUUUUGUUGGGAAAGAAAAGCAGCAGGUUAAUACCCCGCUGUUCUGACGGUACCCAAAGAAUAAGCACCGGCUAACUUCGUG